rnacentral:rRNA from 1 species
GACGAACGCUGGCGGCGUGCUUAACACAUGCAAGUCGAACGGAAAGGCCCUGCCUUUGUGGGGUGCUCGAGUGGCGAACGGGUGAGUAACACGUGAGUAACCUGCCCUUGACUUUGGGAUAACUUCAGGAAACUGGGGCUAAUACUGGAUAGGAGCUCCUGCUGCAUGGUGGGGGUUGGAAAGUUUCGGCGGUUGGGGAUGGACUCGCGGCUUAUCAGCUUGUUGGUGGGGUAGUGGCUUACCAAGGCUUUGACGGGUAGCCGGCCUGAGAGGGUGACCGGCCACAUUGGGACUGAGAUACGGCCCAGACCCCUACGGGAGGCAGCAGUGGGGAAUAUUGCACAAUGGGCGGAAGCCUGAUGCAGCAACGCCGCGUGCGGGAUGACGGCCUUCGGGUUGUAAACCGCUUUCGCCUGUGACGAAGCGUGAGUGACGGUAAUGGGUAAAGAAGCACCGGCUAACUACGUG